rnacentral:rRNA from 1 species
UAAGCGGAGGAAAAGAAACCAACAGGGAUUGCCCUAGUAACGGCGAGUGAAGCGGCAACAGCUCAAAUUUGAAAUCUGGCUCUUUCAGAGUCCGAGUUGUAAUUUGCAGAGGGCGCUUUGGCUUUGGCAGCGGUCCAAGUUCCUUGGAACAGGACGUCACAGAGGGUGAGAAUCCCGUACGUGGUCGCUAGCUAUUGCCGUGUAAAGCCCCUUCGACGAGUCGAGUUGUUUGGGAAUGCAGCUCUAAAUGGGAGGUAAAUUUCUUCUAAAGCUAAAUAUUGGCCAGAGACCGAUAGCGCACAAGUAGAGUGAUCGAAAGAUGAAAAGCACUUUGGAAAGAGAGUCAAACAGCACGUGAAAUUGUUGAAAGGGAAGCGCUUGCAGCCAGACUUGCUUGCAGUUGCUCAUCCGGGCUUUUGCCCGGUGCACUCUUCUGCAGGCAGGCCAGCAUCAGUUUGGGCGGUGGGAUAAAGGUCUCUGACACGUUCCUUCCUUCGGGUUGGCCAUAUAGGGGAGACGUCAUACCACCAGCCUGGACUGAGGUCCGCGCAUCUGCUAGGAUGCUGGCGUAAUGGCUGUAAGCGGCCCGUCUUGAAACACGGACCAAGGAGUCUAACAUCUAUGCGAGUGUUUGGGUGUCAAGCCCGAGCGCGUAAUGAAAGUGAACGGAGGUGGGAACCCGCAAGGGUGCACCAUCGACCGAUCCUGAAGUUUACGGAAGGAUUUGAGUAAGAGCAUGGCUGUUGGGACCCGAAAGAUGGUGAACUAUGCUUGAAUAGGGUGAAGCCAGAGGAAACUCUGGUGGAGGCUCGCAGCGGUUCUGACGUGCAAAUCGAUCGUCAAAUUUGGGCAUAGGGGCGAAAGACUAAUCGAACUAUCUAGUAGCUGGUUCCUGCCGAGC